rnacentral:lncRNA from 1 species
UGAGUGUCCACUCUGCAGGGUGUCAGGAUGUCCCCGUGUCCCCUCGAGCUUUGCCCGCCCCGAGCUCAGCUGCUCCCGGCGGCCAGAACAGAGGGGUAGAGCAGUUCUCCGCGGCCCGGGGGACGGCGGCCGUGCCCAGCCCGGGGCUGCGCGAGAGACAAAGCCCUCUCUGCUGUCCGACCCGGGCGCCCUGAUCGCCUCCCUUUUCCCUCCGCAGGUCGACCCACCGGAACCGAUCUCCACUGCCCAAGCUGUGCUGCUGCUGCCUCGGAUAGAAGCGCAGGUACGUGCCGGCAUUGAUCGAAGGAAGGCCCAGGGCACGUGGUCGAGAAGAUCUAGGUUCCAGGCCUGUGUUUGUUGAGCUGCGUAGAUCCGCCCCAGUCGCCCUUUCAUGUGCCCUUUUAAGGUUGUCGCAGUACUUUAAGAGGCUAACACAGAAGGGUAAAGGAAGUCUCCAUAAAACCCAGAGAGGGAAAAUGCACCUCCUCUUUGGAUCCUGUCUGGAGUCACAGAUGAACCAGAAAGCUUCACUCGAGUGUGCUCAUUUUACUUCUGGCGAUUACUAACUAGGUAGUGAUGUAGGACUGGAACAAAGUAGCAAGAGUGCACUUACUUUCCUAGAAAUGAGAUUUUAGGUCAGCUGAAAAGGAUAUACUUGAGCGUUUUUCCACUUAUCUGAAGCAUCUUUUUUCAUUUUAUAG